CACUCGGUGCUGGUGUGGACCGCAUCACCUGGGACCCACAGAACACACUUGGUGCUGGUGUGGACCGCAUCACCUGGGACCCACAGAACACACUUGGUGCUGGUGUGGACCGCAUCUCACCUCAGGAAAGUGGGCCGUCCUUACCAGUACAGCCUCUGCCUCCUGGAGUGACGCAGGUGUCAAAUGGUUCUUCAGCCAAUGAGCGGACCGACCAGCUUUCUUCACAGAGCACAAAGUCUGGAUGGUUCCGUGGAUGGUUCAAGUCCAAAACUCCAGACAUUCAGGAGUGAUCGCAGGAAGUGACAUCAUCACCUGACAGUUCUGCUUUAUAGCAGGCAGCGAGAUUGCACUUGAUUAUGUUUACCACAGCAGCGAUACACACACUUGAAGAAGGUAAUCAAAGAAUAUACACUAUAUGUACCAAUAUACAAAGUUGUGUAA